GGAAGGAAGGAAGGCAGUAGGAAGCCAGUCCGUGGUGGAGGCGGGUGACCUCACGCCCUAUUCCGCACCGUUUUCCCCUUCUAUGGCGCUUAUUUCAGCCAGGUGAAGGACGAAGCCAACCCGAAUACAAGCCUGACAGAAUGCAAACUGACGUGACGCUGAGGUACUUGUGGAAAUGAGGGAGAAUAUGGCUGGACUCGGGGCAGGUCCCGGAGAUCCCAGGCAUCCCCGUGGGAAGACAUUCCCGAGUGCCCCGAUGGCAGCUAAGGGGGUGCGCUCCCCCCAAUCCCCUGUAACUCUGGGCCAGGAGUGCACCGAGGGGCUGCUGUGGUCUGGUCCCGGGGUAAACUUUGUAGCAGACCACUUCACUGAACACCCGCAGGACCUGCCACUGGCGCCCCAGAAGCAUCCCGGCCAGCGGGGCGGCAAGGUGACCCGGGUGAAGCUCACCAAGUCCCCGAGCCCCACCAAGGAGCCCACCAAGUUCUUUGUUCUGCCUGCCGGAGGAAUGAGUGUCCCUGUGCCUGAGUUGGACACCCAGCCCACCCCACGGGGCAGCAAGGGGUCCCUGGGCCCCCGCCCUGCCCCUGAGGGGAGGGAAGGGUCAUUCUCAGGAGGUGGUCACCUUCCCCUGGGGGUAGAGCUGGUGGCCGGCCGUAGCCAGAUGAGUGCUCCGGAUGGCUCCAGGGGUGGCUCCACCUGGUCCAAGGUCAAGAGUCUGCCUCCCUCUCACACCCUGGCCAUGUCUGCCUCACUCCUCAAGUCAUACUUCACCUCCUCCUCCUCCUCAUCCAACUCAUCAUCCUCACCCUCCUCCUCUACCACCUCAUCCUCCACCUCGCCAGCUACAGAGAAGCAGUUACAGCAGCAGCAGCAGCAGCAACAUGGCAAAGGAUCUGCUGUGACGCCUGACACAGAGACGUCUGUCAAGACCAAGAUGAUAGGGCUGUGGAACAAUGUGAAGUAUGGGUGGACGGUCAACCUGAAGACCAAUUUUUCCCGGGACUCUCCGGUGUACCUCUUGGGCUCCGUGUACCAUAAGAGUCUUGGGGCUGAUGGGGAGGAUGCAGACCAGGGGGAGGUGGAGCGACAUGGCAUGGAGGCGUUCAAGCGGCACUUCCACACGCUGGUCUGGUGCACCUAUCGCCGCCAGUUCCCGACGCUACAGGACUCCAGCCUCACUACUGACUGCGGCUGGGGCUGCAUGCUUCGGUCUGGCCAGAUGAUGAUCGCCACGGCACUCAUCAGGCACUUUCUCGGCCCUGAGUGGAGGCACGACAAGAAACACAACGACGUGGAUAGCCCUCAAGAACUAGUCCACCGCAGCAUUAUCAGGUGGUUCGGUGACUCCCCCUCCCCCCACUGCCCCCUCUCCCUGCACAACCUGGUUCACCUCGGCCACAAGCUGGGCAAGCGGGCGGGGGACUGGUACGGCCCGGCUUCUGUCGCUUAUAUUUUCAAAGAGGCGAUAGAGAUGGGAUCUAAGUACAUCCUCGAUCUGCAACAUGUGUGUGUAUACGUGGCCCAGGACUGUGCAGUGUAUAUACAAGACGUCCUGGACCUCUGCUCUGCCCCGUGCCUCUGUAACGUGGGGUCCCUAUACAAGACGGGGCGGGGGAUGGAAGGGACACGAGAAGGAGCUGCCCUUUACCCCGAGUCCCUGCCGAACCUCACAGCGAUCAGCGAAACCUCGGACACUAAUAGUAACGGUAAUAAAUCCACCUCAAAUGGCAUGAGUGGAUGUGAAAAUAGACAGCAGGGAGGGUCGCAUAUCCCCCAGGGUGAAGCGAGGACCCCCAAUGCUCUGUCCGGGGAUGCGCUGUGCCCUAAGUGUGAUAACUGGAAGGCCGUGGUGAUCAUGGUGCCGGUGAGACUGGGCGGAGAGACGUUGAACCCCAUCUACGCGCCCUGCAUCUACUCCCUCUUCACCCACGAUCUCUGUGUUGGCAUCAUUGGAGGAAGGCCCAAGCACUCCCUAUACUUCGUUGGGUUUCAGGAGGAGUCCCUGAUACACCUGGACCCCCACCUGUGCCAGGACGCGGUGGCCGUCACCCAAGCGGUCUUCUCCCCGUCCUCCUACCACUGCUCGUCGCCCCGCAAGAUGGCCCUGUCGCGUAUGGACCCCUCGGCCACCCUCGGCUUCUACUGCCAGACACGCACUCAGUUCCUGCAGCUGAUGGAGGAACUGCCAGAGCUCCUGACACCCAAGGAACCAGGUUUUGAGUACCCAAUAUUUGAGUUCGUGGAUGGCUGCUGUCCUGACGCCGAUGCUUGCACUCGACAAGUCAGCACCGAGAACAAGCUGGCAGCCUCCCUCCCUCCUGACACCCCGCUCCUCCCACAGGACUCCGAGGAAUUUGUCUUUCUCUGAUGGGUGUUGAGGAGGAGGAGGAGGAGUGAAAGGAGGAAGAGGAGGAGGAGCAUAGGAAGAAAUGGGCAGGAGGUUAAGGCACAGUAGGAGAGUUUAGCAUCCCAUAGCACUAAGAGGGGACUCAGCCAUCUCUCCCCUGACCUAUAGCCAUUCAGGACAGUAAGGUAACCUGUUGCUGUAUGUUCUUUCGUAAUGUCCUGUAGAGUUGAAAUUGAAACAUGUUGAGUAUAUUGAGUAUCUUUCCCAUUACGUACAUGCCAGUUUGUGUUUUGUUGUGCCUUGUGAGAGUUCUGUCUAAGGUGUAACGAGAGAUUAGGCAAGGCGGGCAACUAAACAGGUUAAUUUCAACUUUUGGGAGAAAUGUUUUGAAGGCCCCAUUGCUUUUUUUUUUUUUUUUUUUGUCUUAGUUUUCCUACGGCCCCCAGAGUCCCUAGAAUUGCCAAGUGAGUUUUUUUUAUUCUUCAUAUUCUCCUUACUGACAAGAGGGUAAAAAAGCUGGAAAUAUGAAACCUGUAGCCUAUUUUGUAUGGUUCUCCCUUAUACAUCUCUAUUAUUUGCCAUCCUAUUAUGUACCGUCCCCUUCUGCCUUGUUCCCUCCAGCUCUGACUGUUCCUCAUUCCUGUCCUCUCUUUAGUGCCACUGUCAAGGUUUCGGAGGCAGAUAACAGAGCAUCAAUCCCACCAAGUUCAGUGCAGUUCUAGGUCUUAGUGACGGAGAGGCAGAGCUUGCAUUGGGUUGAGAUGUGAAGGUCAAUACUGGCGAUGAAUUUGAGUGUCACUUAAGCUGUAUUGCGAGUGUUCUAUCAUGCUGGCAACAACACACAGUAUCAACAUUGCAACACAGCUUACCAAUCUGUCGGUAUAAAAAUUCCAGUAGUAUGACGAGCAUUGUGAAUGUCAAUAGAACCUUCUCACUGGACAGAGUUUAACCGUUUCUUUCCCGGCUUUUACGGAUGAGUGCACCAUUUUUGGAUUGUUAUUGCUUUUCUACAACUGUUGUUAUGUACUUCGGCGCUAUUUUUCACGAGGCCUCUAGUUAGCUUUUGAAUGAUGUGCUCCGCAGGGUCAUAUUAGCCCUCGUUAAGGAGAGAUCUGUUCCAUAAUUUUGUGUGCAUGAGUACAGUGUGAUGGACCUGCAGGAUUUGACUUAAUUUGCUUCACUCACUCCACAACUUGUUCAUUGAUUGACAGUUUAAUGAAUGAUCUACAGGAAUGCAUGGCUAGUGUGUGUGUGUGUGUGUGUGUGGGGGGGUCAGAGUGAGGCACCAAGGACUGUUUAGCAUAAUUAUAAUCGUGCCUUCAAUGUAUGAGUUUACGUUUAUCAGAUACCCGUGACGGAUAUUAGCAUCUCACUGUAGCGCCAGUCAAGAUACUUAUCACCACUACUACUACCACUACUACCACCACUACUAUUACUACCAAAACCACAUACACUAACUCAACUUCUCUUCUACUACUACUACUACUACUACAACCACUACCAGUAUCACUACCAGACUUAACACUACACCUCACAUUCUUCUCUUAACUACCACUACUACUGCUACUACUACCACUUCCACUACAACACAAUGCAACACUUCAAUACAACACAUAACACUGCUUCUCCCUAACUCCUUCCUCCUUGUCUUGCUUAUAUGUCUAUUUAUAGUGUUUCAGCUUGUCACAACCUCCACCACCUUCACCUCCCUUCCUCUUCCUCCUCCUCUCUUCUAUGCCUCUGUUCAUGGGUAGAGUUUAUCACCCUCAACCUUGCCCUCAACAUAACACAGCACUGCCUAUCCACCACCUUCACCUCCCUUCCUCUUCUUCCUCCACUCUUCUAUGCCUCUGUUCAUGGGUAGAGUUUAUCACCCUCAACCUUGCCCUCAACAUAACACAGCACUGCCUAUCCUCCUCCUCCUCCUCUUCUUCUUCCUCCUCCUCCUCUCCCUCCUAUGCCUCUGUCCAUGGUUACAGUUUAGUCUUGUCAAUUCACAUCUUUUUAUACCUCCUCAUGUUGUCUCAGUGUUAGUGCAGAGGUCUCCAUCCCUUAGCUGGCAUGGGCAUGGAUUGGCUUACUCACCCCUGUCAUCUAUUGAGCCUGAACACCCCUUCUUUAAUUUCCCUGUUGAUUCAUUUCUUUUUUGACCUUGGGAUAUCAUAAGGUCAGGGUUGAGUUUCUUGUUUCUUAGUGAUAUAGGCCUUGUGUGACCUACCCCUGUUUGACGUGUGUUGAGUUUGAGCACACCUAUCCACUCCCACCUCCUCCUCCUCUUCCUUCACCUCCUCCUCCAUGUCUGUCUGUUUAUGGUGUGGAGUCAGGUCACAGCCAGUGGUGGUGUGGGGUAUGUUCUCCAAUCUGUGGUCAUUAUUCCAAUUCAGUCUCAUAUUAAAAGAGUUACCCAAAAAUAGGACAAAGCUGCAAGUGACAGUUUUCAAAGAGCAAGAAAACUACUACACAUUAUUCAAACUUAACCUAAUCUGUCUGCUAUAAGAGUGAUUGUUAUGUAUAAUGCCUUCAUGCAGUUUUGGAUAAUAUUAGGUGGUUGUAAUGCUUUAACCCGGUUGCAGCGAGGAUCAUGCUUCUUAAUGGUCCCUCUAAGCGAGAAAAAUGAGUAAAAAUCAUCACUCACACGAACCAUUUCAUAAUAUAUAUCAAAGAAUUUGUGAUCAGUUUAUGCAUCAUCUAUUUUUUUGGGGUUUAUAUCGUGGCGCAAAUUUGGCCCGUUGCUGGUACACGGUAAAGCCACAAAUUUGGCCCGUUGCUGGUACACGGUAAAGCCACAAAUUUGGCCCGUCGCUGGUACAUGGUAAAGCCACAAAUUUGGCCCAUUGCUGGUACACGGUAAAGCCACAAAUUUGGCCCGUUGCUGGUACACGGUAAAGCCACAAAUUUGGCCCGUUGCUGGUACACGGUAAAGCCACAAAUUUGGCCCGUUGCUGGUACACGGUAAAGCCACAAAUUUGGCCCGUUGCUGGUACAUGGUAAAGCCACAAAUUUGGCCCGUUGCUGGUACACGGUAAAGCCACAAAUUUGGCCCGUCGCUGCUACUGGGUUAAGUCACUCCUUCAUUAGACAAGAGGACAUUUACUUGAACAUGCCGCUGGAAAAGUCUUUAUUUUGGCUGAGAUUAUGCUUAUGACCUUGUGAUUCUAGAGGGAAAAUCUGUUGAGUAAUUUUUCUUCGUUAAUUCUUCUCUAGUUCUUGCUUUGCUGUUUAUAAGUUUGUGGCUUUGAGUUUGAGACCAAAUGGCUUUCCGGAUAUUAAGUAGAGGUAAUGAGAUUCAAACUUUAUUACCCUGGCUCUCCUCUUCCAUGGCAUGUCACCCUAACCCACUAAAACACAGUGGCACAUUUUUUUUCCAUGACAUGAGUAACAAAUGUAAUGUAACUCUCGGUCUACUCAUAUUUUUUUGACAGGAGCAGUGACUAGUUGUGAUUUUUCUAUUUUAUUUAUUUAUCUUAAUUUAUUUUUGCCCUAGAGCUGUUUCCACUACUUUUUUUGUUCUUUCAUCUAAGCCUAUAGUGCCAGCAGGCUGUAUGGCUUGGAAAGUAUAUUCUAGACAUGUGUAAUUCAAGGUGUUUUUUUGCCUGAUUUGAAGCUCUUUGGUUUUCAGUGAGUUUGGACUGAAAGAAGUGUGAAAUUGUGGGUUAUGCAGAAGAAGUGUGAAGGUGUUUGGUGUAUCAGAAGAGUGUGAAGUUGUGGGUUAUAUCGAAGUAGUAUGAAGCUGUUUGGGGUAUCAGAGGAGUGUGAAGUGGAUUGGUUUAUUAGAGGAGUGUGAAGUUGUGGGUUAUAUCAAAGAAGUGUGAAGUUGUUUGGGGUAUCAGAGGAGUGCAAAGUUGUUGGUUUUAGUUAUCAGUGGUGUGUGAAGUUAUGGGUUUAUAUCAGAGAAGUGUAAAGUUGUUUGGCAUAUCGAAGGAGUGUGAAGUUAUGGUUUUAUAUCAGAAAAGUGUGAAAUUGUUUGCUAUGUCAGAAAAAUGUAAAGCUGUGUACUCUAUCAAACAGGCUCAUGUGAAUGGUUGAAUGUAUAAAGAGUAUGAAGUUCGAUGAGUCAAGGAGAGUCACUGAUGUUUAAUUUUUGCAGGAACAGAGUUGAGAAAUUUCCGUUUUUGGGAGUUUUAAAAUGUUACUAGUCACGGCAAGUUGGUUUGAUCCUGUGGAAACAUUCGCAUGCCCUUUUUUUGUCUACAAGGAGAGUUUGUGUUAAUGGUGACAAGCUUUUCAGUGAACAAUAUAGUUUUAAUGGAAAUUGCCUGGCAGUGUUGAAAUAUUGUAUACUUUUAUUUAUUUUCUUGGUCCUUAAUUCUUUUCCUUCCUUCCUUUCCUUUCUUCCCUCUCUUCUUUCCUUCAUUCUCUGUCUUCUUCCUUCUCCCUGCCAUCCUUUCCCCUCUCCUUGUCUCCCUUCCCUCUCUCCUUCCUUUUCUCUCCCUCUCUUCCUUUCCUCUCGCCCUCCUUCCUUUAAGUUGGUGAAAGACUGAUGUUAGUGAAAUUGUAGGAGGGGCAUGAUGUAAUAAUUGGUUUAUAUUUAUUUGACUCUUUUCUCACCGUUUCACAACUUCUGAAUUUUGCGAUCUUUUUGAAUUUUUCCUCCACACUUCAAUUUCUUAUAUUUCACUACAUAUCUUAGUUUUUAUUCCCUUAUUUUCAUAGUUUCCUGUUCCUAUGAGUAUUCUGUGGGCCACUUCAAUGGAUCAGUUUCAACACUCUACAUGUUACCGUAAUUUUCUGUUAGUUAAAGUACGGCGCAAAUGAGCAAAGAAAAGUUGGUCGGAAGUGGUGUCUGUGAUUCAACGAAGGCUAAUAAGAUAGACACAAGAUCAUUUGGUUCUCUUAAUACCGACGAAGCAAGAAAGAAAAAAAACCCAGAAACUAAAUAAGAAAAUCAUGUUUGCUUAAAGAGAGCGAGACACGGUUCAAUCCUCGACUUAAUGUAGAGUUCUGAAUCUGCCAUUGGAUUUUGAGUUGGUAAUAAUGACAUUUAAUAAGGAACAACUUGGAAUAUAUCAGUCAGUAUUUUCUUAGCUUGUGUAUAUCUUGUUUAGCCUCUUUCUUAUCCUUCAUUCUUAGCACGAUCUUCUGAAUCUACCAUUGGGAUUUGAGUUGGUAAUAAUUGACAUUCUAGUAAGGAACAGCUUGGAAUAUAUCAGUUAGUAUUUUCUUAGCUUGUGUAUAUCUUGUUUAGCCUCUUUCUUAUACUUCAUUCUUAUCACGAUCUUCUGAAUCUACCAUUGGGAUUUGAGUUGGUAAUAGUGACAUUUAAUAAGGAACAGCUAGGAAUAUAUCAGUUAGUAUUUUCUUAGCUUGUGUAUAUCUUGUUUAGCCUCUUUCUUAUACUUCAUUCUUAGCACAAUCUUCUGAAUCUACCAUUGGGAUUUGAGUUGGUAAUAAUUGACAUCUAGUAAGGAAGAGCUUGGAAUAUAUCAGUUAGUAUUUUCUUAGCUUGUGUAUAUCUUGUUUAGUGUCUUUCUUAUACUUCAUUCUUAGCACAAUCUUCUGAAUCUACCAUUGGGAUUUGAGUUGGUAAUAGAGACAUUUAAUAAGGAACAGCUUGGAAUAUAUCAGUUAGUAUUUUCUUAGCUUGUGUAUAUCUUGUUUAGCCUCUUUCUUAUACUUCACUCUUAUCACGAUCUUCUGAAUCUACCAUUGGGAUUUGAGUUGGUAAUAGUGACAUUUAAUAAGGAACAGCUUGGAAUAUAUCAGUUAGUAUUUCCUUAGCUUGUGUAUAUCUUGUUUAGCCUCUUUCUUAUCCUUCAUUCUUAUCACGAUCUUCUGAAUCUACCAUUGGGAUUUGAGUUGUUAAUAAUUGACAUUCUAGUAAGGAAGAGCUUGGAAUAUAUCAGUUAGUAUUUUCUUAGCUUGUGUAUAUCUUGUUUAGUGUCUUUCUUAUACUUCAUCCUUUGCACAAUCUUCCUUCGUCUGUAUUUCCUCCUGCAUACGAUUUGAUCUCUUUCAGGAGGAGAGUAUCGGGCCACCUCUCCUCCUGAAAUUGACCUCUCUUUUGGCUACUCCACUAAACUGUUUUUCAUAGGGGAAGUAAUUUGUGGGGCUUUUUUAUUCUCAUUAUUAUUUUUUUGGCCUUUGAGCUUCUUCCUUUACUAUAAAAAAAAUUGCAACCUUCUCUCUUUAUUUUCUGUACUAUCUUGCUUAGCCUAUUACUGUCUUGCUUAGGGUCUUUCUUUAGCAAUCUCCUUUCUCUUCCUAUUUUCUGUACUAUCUUGCUUAGCCUAUAUCUUUCCUAUCAGCCUCCUCUUUCAACCCAUAUCUUUUUGUAUAGUUUGCUUAGGGUCUUUCUUUCCCUCCCUUAACAACCUCCUUCAACACCUUCUUCAGCUUGCACGAUUAUAUAUAUUUAUCUUAGUUUCUUAAUAUCUUGCAUAGGGCCAUUCUUUUUCCCUUAACAAUCUCCUUCAACACCUUCUUCAGCUUCCACGAUUAUAUAUAUUUAUCUUAGUUUCUUAAUAUCUUGCAUAGGGCCAUUCUUUUUCCCUUAACAAUCUCCUUCAACACCUUCUUCAGCUUGCACGAUUAUAUAUAUUUAUCUUAGUUUCUUAAUAUCUUGCAUAGGGCCAUUCUUUUUCCCUUAACAAUCUCCUUCAAGACCUAUUUCAGCUUCCACGGUUAUAUAUAUUUAUUGAAAAACGAAUCUAACAUACGUUCUCGCGAUAUGUGUGUGUAAGUAAUGUAUAUAUAUUGUAAAAGAAAGGAGGAUACAUAUAAUACUUGUGAGAUAUAAAGAAGCAGAGUAAGGGUGUUCGAAUGUAUGUAUGUAUCUAUGUAUGUAUCUAUGUAUGAUGGUGUGUAAGGUGACUCUUGUAUAUACACUUGCUGCUGGGUACGAUAAUUAUAUAUGGUUAAGCCGUAUAGAUAUUUCGUGUAUUUUUCUCUCCUCGUGUCAACUUGAAAUAUGUUUAUCAUUGCAAGAAAUACAACACGGAAAGACUA